UCCGUAGGUGAACCUGCGGAGGGAUCAUUACCGAGUUUACAACUCCCAAACCCCUGUGAACAUACCACUUGUUGCCUCGGCGGAUCAGCCCGCUCCCGGUAAAACGGGACGGCCCGCCAGAGGAACCCUAAACUCUGUUUCUAUAUGUAACUUCUGAGUAAAACCAUAAAUAAAUCAAAACUUUCAACAACGGAUCUCUUGGUUCUGGCAUCGAUGAAGAACGCAGCAAAAUGCGAUAAGUAAUGUGAAUUGCAGAAUUCAGUGAAUCAUCGAAUCUUUGAACGCACAUUGCGCCCGCCAGUAUUCUGGCGGGCAUGCCUGUUCGAGCGUCAUUUCAACCCUCAAGCACAGCUUGGUGUUGGGACUCGCGUUAAUUCGCGUUCCUCAAAUUGAUUGGCGGUCACGUCGAGCUUCCAUAGCGUAGUAGUAAAACCCUCGUUACUGGUAAUCGUCGCGGCCACGCCGUUAAACCCCAACUUCUGAAUGUUGACCUCGGAUCAGGUAGGAAUACCCGCUGAACUUAAGCAUAUCAAUAAGCGGAGG
rnacentral:rRNA from 1 species